ensembl:lncRNA
CAUCCACCAAGAAGGAUUAGUUAUAUAGAUAUCUAGAAAGACUAGCUAAAAUGGAGAAGCAGCAGGAUGGUAUGCUAGAGGAACUGUCUCUACUGGGCCCAGAGGAGGGCCACUCGGAUGACCAGAGGGCUGGAGCACCUCUCCUAUGAGGAAAGGUUGAGGGAACUGGGCUUGUUUAGUUUGGAGAAGAGGAGGCCUUGGUCAGACCUACUUGUGGCCCUAUAUUACUUCAACGGAGUGUAUAAACAAGAGGGAGAACAAUUUUUCUGAAGGUGAACAGUGAUAAGACACGGGGGAAUGUUUUUAAACUGAGAAGGGAUGUGUAGGUUGGAUAUUAGGAGGAAGUUGUUGACACUCAGGGUGGUGACGCACUGAACAGGUUGCCCAAGGAGGCUGUGGAUGCCCCAUCCCUGCAGGCAUUCAAGGCCAGGCUGGAUGUGGCUCUGCGCAGCCUGGUCUGCUGGAUGGUGAUCCUGCACAUAGCAGGGGGCUGGAAUCAGAUGAUCAUUGUGGUCCUUUUCAACCCAGACCAUUCUCUGGUUCUGUGAUACUGAUUAACUGGGAAGAACCCGUGGUGCUGUCAGCAACCCCUGAUGGAGAUCAGGGUGAUCAGAAGAGUCUACUGAAGGGGCUGAUUCAGCUGAUCCAAGGUGAUGAACCCUGCUCCUCACCUGGACCAUCAAAACUCUCAGCUAUUCAAGGCAUACACUGUUGAUUCCGUGGUAUUCACAGCACGGACUGAGCUGAUAUUUCACUGAAGGAAACGUCAACGGACCGUCCUUUUGCUGGGCACACACUCUGAGCGAUCUCAGGACAGCACGAAGAAGCCUCCAAGGACUUGCAGAUCAUCAGGAAUUGAUGGCAGAAUGGAGCACAUGGUGGUCAUUCUUAAUGUUGUCUGAGAUCCCUGAUUAAGUCUGUAGGACAGACUCCACUUUGUUGUUGUUGUUGUUUUAAAAAGGCAGUGUGUGUGCAAGCAAAAAGAGGCGUUGGAGCGUUCCCUCUCUACGUACAUGCAGGACACAUCCAUGGCAGAGCACAGUGCCAGCAGUAUUCAUCUCCCACAAGCUCCUUGUGGCCGAUCCACCACCUGUGGGUUCUGCAACACAGCUGUACUUAUUCUUGUACUAUCAAUGGGAAUUCGGCACAGAGGCAUGGAAAGGCAGUUGUGGUUAAAGGGUUGGAGUGGAAGCUGGGACUUCACAUGGCAGUUACAGUUGGGAUGAGGUGAGAGUAACUGAAGUUAAACGUGGAGGGGCUUUACCAAGGAAAUCAUCAGCCUGCUGUUAGACAGAGGUGGGCUAGGAGAUGUCAGCCCAGAGUUACAGUUGCAUCUUGCUCCGGCUGCCAAAGACAGGAGCAGUUAGGGCAGUUGGGGAUGGGUGCAAAGAUGCCCCAGGUUGCCACUGGCGACACCGUUAUGAAGUCACUCCAGGGUUCCGGCCGUGGCAACGAGCCCACCAAGAGCAACAAACGCCUCUGCGCAGUGCUCUGCUCUUGCCAGGCUCUGCAAGGGGACACAGCUGACCAACAGCCGGCUUUGGUGCUGCUGAGAGUGGCUGACAGCCUGCAGGGCACAAGGAAAGGGCGUCAUUUAAGAACAGAGGCUUUGGGAAAGCCAUCGGUUGGGCAAUGUUUGCCUGGAGGGCAGAACACUUCUCAGCCCAGCCAAGGGCACAGAGAGCCAUCCCCCAGCCUGUGCCAGCCUUCCAGCUGCAAGAGACUGCUCAUGGC